rnacentral:lncRNA from 1 species
CAGACAGACUGGGGAGAAGACACAGAGCCAAGCAGGACCUGGCCUGCAGCCCAAACCCUGUGGAAUCCCUACAUUCAAGGACCAGGUUGAAGUGAAGCCAUUGACAGGAACUGAGAUGCAGUAGUGUUCUGGAAGUCAAGUGAGGAGGAGGAUUGAAGAAGAGGUUGGUCAAAAUUCUGGGGGUUGCCCAGUGGAAACACCAGACUGCAAAGCUUUGAGAAGUCUGUAUGAGAUGAACAACUGGAAAAGGUUCUUCGUGAAGAAUUUGUGUGGUGAAGAGCUGGAAUAGCGGCUUGAGGGAGAGAAGCCAGCACUAUUCACAAUAGCCAAGAUUUGGAAGUAACCCAAAUGUCCAUCAACAGACAAAUGGAUAAAGAAAAUGUGGUGCAUAUACACAAUGGAGUAGUAUUCAGCCAUAAAAAAGAAUGAGAUCUUGUCAUCUGCAACAACAUGGAUGGAACUGGAGGUCCUUAAGGUUAAGCAAAAUAAUCCAGGCACAGAAAGAAAACAUUGCAUGUUCUCAUCUAUUUGUGAGAACUAAAAAUUAAAACAAUUGAACUCAUGGAGAUAGAGAGUAGAAGGAUGGUUACCAGAGGCUGGGAAGGGUAGUGAGGGCGAGUGAGGGGGAAGUGGGGUGUUUAAUGUGUCCAAAAAAUGGUCAGAAACAAUGAAUAAAGUCUAAUAUAUGACAGCAAAAGAGUGUGACUAUAGUCAAUAAUAAUCGAAUGGUACAUUUAAAAAUAACUAAAAGUGUAUAUUUGGAUUGUUUGUAACAUAAA